AACGAACGCUGGCGGCAGGCUUAACACAUGCAAGUCGAACGGUUGUAGCAAUACAGCAGUGGCAGACGGGUGAGUAACAUGUGGGAACCUUCCUAGGGGUACGGAACAACUCAGGGAAACUUGAGCUAAUACCGUAUACGUCCGUGAGGAGAAAGAUUUAUCGCCCUUAGACGGGCCCGCGUCGGAUUAGCUAGUUGGUGGGGUAACGGCCUACCAAGGCGACGAUCCGUAGCUGAUCUUAGAGGAUGAUCAGCCACACUGGGACUGAGACACGGCCCAGACUCCUACGGGAGGCAGCAGUGGGGAAUCUUGGACAAUGGGCGCAAGCCUGAUCCAGCCAUGCCGCGUGAGUGAAGAAGGUCUUCGGAUUGUAAAGCUCUUUUGCCAGGGACGAUAAUGACGGCACCUGGAGAAUAAGCCCCGGCAAACUUCGUGCCAGCCGCCGCUGUAA
rnacentral:rRNA from 1 species